CUAAUCAUUUAUUCACAUUCACAGGAACAAGUAAAACUCCUUGGUCAUUAAAUCAAAAUCUCUCACUCCUCACAUUCAAAUCUCGCUCACGCUGUGAUCUAAUCACUUAUUCCUUCGCGCGUUUGCUUUGAUCUCGAUCUCGCUGGAUUUCAAUCCCAAUCUCGCUCUUGCUCUCACUCGAUUCUCGAUCUCUCUCGCUCUCGCUUGAUCUCGAUUCUCGAUAUCUCUCCGGUGAGACUGCAACCUUUGAAUUUGUUGCUGAUCUGCUCUCCUAAGUCAUUGUUGCCUCUGUGAUCAUUGCUGCUCCUCUGUCCUCUUCAUUGUAAGUGUCUCUGCUUUCUGCUCCCAGUCAUUGUCACCAUUGCUCUGUAGCUUCUUAUUGCAGAUUGAAGAAGAGAAACUUCAAUUACACAAGUACAAACAUUUUGUUGUGAUUUGUUUGCCUCACCGGGUAAUCUUCAACUACAGCAAGGCAUUCCAGUUAUUUUCAAGUGGUUAAUCUAUAAUCAAUUUAAAUUUGUUGCUUCUAAAGGAAUCAAACUUGGAGGGAUUGGGAGUGUGCGAGGCUAUGGUAAACGAGCAAUAGGGUCUGGAAGAUCUUGUCCACUUCCUUUGGGGAGAUCAGAACAUAGAAGAACAUGGCUUGGUUGUGAUGAUCACUUUGAUAGAAGUGAAUACAUAUCUUUUGUUUGUAGCACAUAUCUACCCCAUUGAUAUGGAUGAUGGAGUAGAAGUCUGGCAUGGCGCACUAGGACUACGACAACUGGGGAUAGCAGCGACACACUGUAAACUUGAGCCUAUGGUUGCCAAUUUCGUCAAGGUUUUAUGCAGCCAGGAGAUAUACAGGUAUGCGCUGAUGGAGAUGGGUUACGACUCACCAGACAUUCCCAUAGGGAUGGUUACAGCUUCACUUGAAAAGAUGUGAGGAAGCACUGUUGGAGUUCAUAGAGAAGGUUAAGUCAUCGAAGGAGAAGGAGUAGAAUGGACCAAAGGCUGAGGCUGUCUGGCCAGAUAUUAGCCAAAGAUGGUUCACUAUGAUGCACUCCACUAGGCCUUUCUUUUUCAGAGAUUAACAAGAGAUUGUAGAACAUAUACUAACUAUCAUGGUGGACAAUAUUGAGAAAAUAUUGGAGAGAGGUGAUCGAAUUGAGCUUCUUGUCGAUAAGACCGCUACAAUGCAAGACAACGCAUUUCACUUUAGGAAACAAUCAAAGCGCCUUCGAAGAGCUCUUUGGAUGAAAAUUUUUAAACUCCUUUUGAUUAAUUGGUGAGAAUAUGCUACUUGGUGGAAGUUAAGUAUGAGAAGAAGGAAGCAGUAAUGGACACCACAGAGUGAAAAGACUAACAUUUUGUGAUGGUGAAAUUAAAGACCAUGUGUUUUGGCUGAAGCUCCUUCAAGUUUAGAAAGAAGUUUGGAACCAUUGGUCA